CGGAGGGAGCAGCAUAAUGCAUAUUUUCUUUGAUUAACCUCAAAGGUCUAUGGUCCUAUUCUGGGCUUGACGGUAAAAGUGAGCAACCCAUAAUUUUUGAGGGCAAAAUUGACAUUUCCACUUCAAACCAGCACUACUAUAAAACCCAAAAAACUAGGGUUUUUACCCAACAAAAUCUCAUUAGUUUAAGAAUGAGGCAGGAAGAGGCAGUGGGAGUUUCCCGAGGACCGUUUUGCCCCUCUUCCUUGAUCACCACCGUAUACGGCGGUCAUCUUUAGCCGGUGAUUUCUCCGACCCUCAUUAAAACGGCCCUCUGAGAAAUCGAAGAGCUUAAUUUCCACAAUUUCGUUCUCUUUCUCUAACCAUUUCUUUUUCUUUUUCUUUUUUUUUGGCUGCUCUGAAUCUCUGAACUUGGCUCUGUUUUUCAUCAUUCACCAUAUCCAACCCCAACAACAGUACUACGUACAUAUAUAUAUAUAUACAUACAUACAUAAUCAAAUUAAUUAAUUAUUGAGGCAGUGAUGAGUCAAUUCAAAGUAAUCGAUUGUUUGGUUUCUGGAAUGUUCUUCGAUUUGGGAUAAAUUUUGAUCAAUUGGCUUGGCAGCAAUCGAAAUUCUGUUGGUGUUGUUGUUGUUGUUUCUGUUGCUGUUGCUAAAACCCUAAUUUUGUUGGGGUCGUUUGGUUUGUGGGAUUUGUGGGUUUAUUGAUUUGAUUGAGUUGCCGCCAUGGUUGAGAUUUUCCCACUUCGAGAAUGUGCCGCCAAGCUGUUCGAUGAAAUGCAGAUCUGAGCCUCCUCUUUACCCACCCACCCAAAUAAACCCCAGAUACAGGGGAUUGAGCUACGGUAAUAAGUAAGUGUGGUAUGAUUUUUUCAUUUUAUUUGGUUUAUUAUCUGUAAUGAGAUUGUUGAUGUAAAUGCAUGAAAGUAUUGUUUGCAUGUAAUUCUUUCUUAAAUUUAGUUGAAGUAUGAAUUUUCUCUUUGCUCAGUUAUUAAGAAAUUUUGUAAGUAAUGUUGAUGUUUUAAGGUUUUAUUUUUAGAAAAUUUGUGUGAUGUGAUGAUGUAAAUUCAUGAUUGCAUGCAAGUAUAAGUGUUUUUUUCUGCAUUUGUAGUAUUAUAAUUUAUCUACUUGUGCAAUUAUUCAGCUGCGUAAACAAUGUUGAUGUUUCAAGUUGUUUUUUUUUUUUUUUUUUUGGUAAAAAAAAAAAAAUUGUUGUUUUAUUGUGUGUAAUAAGAUUAUUAAGGUAAAUGCAUGAAAAGUAUAGUUUGCAUGUGAUUUUUUCUGCAUAUAUAUUCAUGUGUAAUCUGUCUUUCGUUCAAUUAUUGUGAAGUGGGUAAACAAAGUUGAUGUUUUUAAGUUGUUGGUUUGUUCUAUUGUUGAUUUAUUAUGUGUAGUUAGAUAAUUGAUGAAAAUUAAUGAAAGUAUUGUUUGCAUGCAACUUUUUCUAUAUCUAUAUCCAAGUUGAUUUUUCUUUUUGUUCAAUUAUUAUGAUAUUUUGUAAUCUUAAUGUUUUAAGUUGGGCAAUUUUAGUGUGAAAAGUUGAGAUUCAAGGGUUAUAUAAACCAUAGCCUGCAACGCAUUGACAACCAAAUUUGAUUCAAUUAUCAAAGUUGAAUUCUUUGAGUAUUUAUGCUCAAUAGUUCAAUAAUCCACCCUGAAAGAACCCUACAUUGACUAUACUGACAAUUAAAUUCAUGAUUAACCUUAGAUUGUGAAAUUGAUAUUCCAUAAUUGAAAAAAAGAAUCUUACCUCAGAAGCUGCUUCAAUUGAGGAUAGAAAGCUCAAAAGCUGCUUCAAUGGAGAACUAAGAGUGCGCUUCAAUGGAUAAUUCAGUCCAUGAUGUUAUAAAUGUCAGGACAAAACCAUGAAAAUGGACCUUUUCCUUGGCAGUAAUCCCUCCUGCCCUUGUUUCAGGGAUAGUCCUGUGGUUUACCUAAAAAUGAGGCAGGGAGAGGCUAUGGGAGUUUCCAAAGGACUGUUUUGCCCCUCUCCCUAGACGAUGACCGUCAAUGGAGGUCGUCUUUAGCCAGUGAUUUCUCCAACUACCAUCAAAACAGUCUUCAUAUUGUAGGGGUUACUUGGUUAGUGUUAAAGGUGUUACUUUGUUAGUGUUAAAAGGGGUUACUUUGCUCUACAAGUGGCCAUAGUUAUAUGGUGUCACCAUCUGCACUCAAAACACUGUUUGAUUAAUUUGCUGCCAUGGCUGUAAGUAGUUUAAGAAUGAGGCAGGAAGAGGCAUUGGGAGUUUCCUGAGGACCGUUUUGCCACUCUUCCUUGAUAACCACCAUCUACAGUGGUCAUCUUUAGCCGGUGAUUUCUCAGACCAAUAUUAAAACGGCUUUAUGAGAAAUUGAAGAGCUUAAUUUCCACAAUUUUGCUCUCUUUCUCUCACCUUUUUUCUUCUUUGGCUGCUUUGGAUCUUUAAACUUUGGUUCUAUUCUUCGCCGUUUACCAUAUUAACCCAAAAAAGUAUUAUGGGCUUGUUUUGAUUUUCUGAAAACAAGUGAAUUGAAUAGAGCUGAAAUGAAUUGUUUAUGAGAGAAGGAAAUUGGGAACUGAUUUGAAUUGAUUGGAGCUAAACUGAAUUGAACUGAAUUGAGCUGAACAGAACUAGGCCUUACGUACAUAUAAAAAUACAUAAAUAAUCGAAUUAUUAAUUAUCGAGGCUGUGAUGAAUCUAUCCAAAGUAAUUGAUUGUUUGGUUUUUGGAAUGUUCUUCGAUUUGGGGUAAAUUUUGAUCAUUUGGCUUGGCAGCAAUCAAAAUUGUGUUGUUAUUGUUGGAACCCUAAUAUUGUUGGGGUCGUUUGGUUUGUGGGGUUUGUUGAUUUGAUUGAGUUGCCGCCAUGGUUGAGAUUUUCCCACUUCAAGAAUGUGCCACCAAGCUGUUCGAUGAAAUGCAGAUCUGAGCCUCCUCUUCACCCACACACCAAACAAUCCCCAGAUAUAGAGGAUUGAUACUACUGUCAUAAGUAAGUAUGGUAUGAUUUUUUUUACAAAAAUUUAUUUAUUUAUUAUGUGUUAUGAAUUGCUGAUGUAAAAGCAUGAAAGUAUUGUUUGCAUGUAGUUCUUUCUUACAUCUAUGUUGAAGUAUGAUUUAUUUCUUUGCUCAAUAAUUAUGCAAAUGUGUUUGAGUAAUGUUGAUGUUUCAAGUUGUUUCUUUGUAAUUGUAUUCGAUGAAAUAAUUAAUGUAAAUGCAUGAUUGAAUGAAGAUUUAUUUACUUAUUUUGAUAGAGAUUGCAUGAAGGUAUUAUUUGCAUGUAAUUUUUACUACACUUUAAUUGAAGGAGUAUACUUUAUCUACUUGUGCAAUUAUUAUGAAAUUCUGUAAACAGUGCUGAUUUUCAAGUGUUAGGCUAUUUUUAUAUAUUUAUUUAUUGUUUUUUUUAAUAUUUUUUUUAUUGUUGUUUUAUUGUAUGUAUGAGAUCAUUAAGGUAAAUGCUUGAAACGUAUAAUUUGCAUGUGAUUUAAGCUGUUGGUUUGUUUCUUUGUUGAAUAAUUGUUUGUAGUGAGAAUGUGAGAUAGUUGGUGUAGAACAAGUUGCAUGUGAUUUGAAUGAAGGUAUUAUUUACAUGCAACUUGUUCUACAUCUUAUUCAACUUAAUUUACAUUUUUGUUCAAUUAUUAUGAAAUUGUGUGAUCAAUGUUAAUAGUUUAAGUUGAGCCAUUUUUAUUGUGAAAAGUUAACAUUCAAGGGUUAUAUAAACCUAAGUUUGCAUCGCAUUGGCAACCAAAUUGACUCAGUUACCAUCAAAGUUAAAAUUUUCUAGUAUAUAUGCUGAAUAGUUAAAUAAACAACCUUGGAAGAACCCUAAAUUGACUAAUCCUGAAAAUUAAAUUUACUAUCAACCCUAGAUUGUGAAAUUGAUAUUUGAUUAUUUUAAAAAAACCUUACGUUAGAAGCUGCUUCAAUGAAGGAGAGAAAGCUAAGAAGCCGCUUCAAUGGAGAACUAAGAGUACACUUCAAUGGAUAAUUCAGUCCAUGAUGUUUUAAUUGUCAUGACAAAACCAUGAAAAUGGACCUUUCUCCCUGGGCCCAAGGCAGCGACGCUCAUGCCCUUGCUCAGAGAUAGUCCUGUGGUUUAUCAAAAAUGAGGCAGGGAGAGGCCAUGGGAGUUUCUCGAGGACCAUUUUGCCCUUCUCCCUAGAUGACUACCAUCAUUGGAGGUCAUCUUUAGCCAGUGAUUUCUCCAACUACCAUAAAAUGGUCCUCACAUCGUAGCUUACUGGACCCUUAACUGUGUGUGUCUCUGUGGGUUGACUUUGUAACUCUCUUAUCGGCAUGCAUCUCUAUCUUCUUACCCUAAAAACAAUCAUCAACCAGUAGAGGCUGUGAUGAGAGUAAACGGUAUUAAGUAGUCAAAUCAAAUUUGGGUUUGGAAAAAUUUUGAGGGUUUUGGGUGGUUAUUCUAUUUGGCUUGGCAGAAAAAUCAAAUGGUGGUAAAUGGGUAUUAUUUUAUUUUUAUUUUUAUUUUUAUUUUGUGGGUUUUUGUUCGGUUGGAAAUUAUUUGAGCCCAAUUUGAUUAAUUUGCUGCCAUGGUUGAUUUUCCCACCUCUUAAUGUUCCACCCAAUUUUUUGAUGAAAUGUGGAACUGAGCCACUUGGAAGAAAAGAAAGAAAGAAAGAAAACAAGAUUUGGAACUUGGAAGCUCCAUUGUUGGAAUGGAUCUUUGUUCAACAAUAUCAUUAGGUUAAGAGUGAGGCAGGGAGAGGCAUUGGGAGUUUUCUGAUGACCGUUUUGCCCCUCUUCCAUGACAACUUCCCCCUGUGAUGUUCAUCUUUAGCCGGUGAUUUCUCCGACCACUGUGAAAACGAUCCUCUGCGAAAUUUAAGAGACUAACUUCAAAGUUUUGCUCUCUUUCUCUCUUUUAUCUGGCACCUCUGAAUCUCUGAUCAUUUGGCUCUGUUGUUCACCUUAUUCACCCCCAACGUACUCCAUAGUCCAGACAUAUAUACUUCGUAUAUCAAUAUAUGUAUGUACAUGCAUAAACAAAUAAAUAAAUAAAUAAAUAAAUGAGGCUGUGAUGUGUCCUGAAGUAAUCGAUUGUUUGGCUUUGGAAUGUUUAAGGUGCGGGGUAAGUUUUAACCAUUUGGCUUGGCAGCAAUUAAAUUGCACUGCUGGAACCCUAUGGUCCUAUUCUUUUGGACUUGUUUUUAGUUCAGAUCAGUUGAGAGUGAGCUCAGGUGGUUAGAGCUUUUCUCCCGAUUCAAGGGGAUCUUUGGACCAAUUCUCCAUCACCCGCCCUUGUGGCUCUCGAAACAAAGAAAAAAAAAAAUACAACUUUCAGUUCAGUUCAGUACAGUACUUCAGUUCAGCUUAAAAGAUACAGGGCCUAAUUGUUAUUGGUGUUUGGUUUCUGUGGAAUUGAUUGAAUUGCCGCCAUGGUUGAAAAUUUCCCACCUCGAAUGUCCUGCCAAAUUGUUCGAUGAAAUUAAGAUCUGAGCCUCCAGUUUACCCACUCACCGCCAAAGAAAUCCCAAAACCAGAGGAUGGAUGCUACGGUAACUAUAAUGGUUUUUUUUGGUUAUAUGUAAUGAGAUUAUUUAGGUAAAUGCAUGAAAUUAUUAUUUGCAUGCAAUUUUUUAACGUUUACAUGAGGAAUGGUUUUGUAUUCUUGAAUUUGAGGUUUUUGGGUGUUCUAUAUGUUCUAUAUAUAUAUAUAUAUAACUUUUUUUAAGACUGGUUAAUGUUUGGUUCAUUUGUAACCUUUUAUUUUGGUGCUUUUGUUCAACACAACAAAUUAACUUUUUAGCUCUAUUGAAUAGAUACAGGGUUCUGUUACAUGUAGUUGUUUCACAACGUAUACAAUGUAUUGCAGGGUUAUAAGAUACCAUUAUAGUUUAUUAGUAUUCGUUAAUAAGCAAAUAUAGAGUUUAUCAGUAUUUUUAUUAUCCAUCAAUCUUGCUGAACUGUAUGCUCAUAAAGGCGGAAACUGGUGUAGGAUUUAGAGGAGAAGCAGUGGUAUUAAUGUUGAAACAUUGGUUGAACAAGUGAGGAAGGGAUCUAGUGACUAGUGUAAUUGAAUGCUGAACAAGGUAUCUUUCUGCGACGUGUUGGAUGAGGGAAAGGGUCUAUUGUUAUUGAUUGCCAUUUCAGUUCACUCUGUAGAUAUUCUUCCUUGAUUCCUCAUCAGUGUGGAUAUAGUCAAUAUCAAUGCUUGUUACAUAGAUGACUAUCCAAUAUGAUAUGUGCAGUAAUUGCUUGCUGAGGUAUUUCAUUCAUUGCUUCAGAUUGAUAUUUGGAAAGGUUUUAUAGGGAGGGUUGUCUGCUCACUUGAGAGUCCAGUAUUUCAUUAAUAACACCCCCCCCCCCCAGUCUUGGUUUAUUUAUUUAAUCCAGAGUGUCUAAGUCUAGUUUGUUGUUAUUUGAAGGAAUUGCUUCGUUUGCUUAAGUUAUUGUGAUAUCUAAUGCGGUAUUCAUUCAUUGCUUAUGAUCGAAUUUUGGAAACCUUGUUGGUGUUUUAUAGGGAGGGUUGUCUGCUCAGUCUGUCCUUGGUGUAUUCAUUUAAUCCUGAGUGUUUAAAGUCUAGUUGGCUGAUAUUUGAAGUGAUUGCUUCUGUUUGCUUAAUCUAAUGUGAGAUCUCUUGAUAUUAACAUCAUGUUUUUGCAUAUCAUUGAAUGUUUAAUAACUUGCUGUUCUGUAUAGUACCUGUUUAUGUUUUUCAGGCUAUGAACAUUAGAUUGAGAUGAACACUUGAAUGGUCCUUGAAGCAAAGGAAGUUGCAAUUUGGUUGUUUUGGAUAGCUUUAGAAGCUUGAUGCUGGUCAAGACAUCAAGUGGUCAUGAAAGAAUUCUGCCAUUUCCUGUUAUGGUUUUCAACUGGGCGUGGAAACUUCAGACGAGCUCAAGUGAACAAUCCCUCAGUUGCAUGCUCAGAAAGUUACAGUUGGUUGUUGCACUAUCAUAACAUGAAAGAAUCACCUUGCAAUGGGAAACUUUCCCGGGGAUCACAUCGGACUAGAGCGAGGCCUUUCACCAGCCAUAGCUUAAUUAUACCGAUAUUUGUGGGAUAGUCAAAUUUACAGAGAGGUGACCUUAAAAUAGUUGUCCUUAAUUUGUCGUGGCCUCGUGGGCACCCUUGGGCAUGACCUCUACUGCCUUAGCAACCUCAGAGUUGUGCAGUACGGAGGGCAUUUUUUUUUUUUUUAUUGAAAUAAUGUUCAAGAUGGUGAUAUUAUUUAUGUUCAUUUUUGUACAGCAUGAAUGGAUAACUUUGAUCAUCAAGGGUAUUGUAUAUUGUUUCAUUUUAAAUUUGUUAUACUACUGUAUUACACAUUCUUAUAAUGUAGCUACCGCUUUUUUA